UACGAAGGGGGCUAGCGUUGUUCGGAAUUACUGGGCGAAAGCGCACGUAGGCGGAUAUUUAAGUCAGGGGUGAAAUCCCAGAGCUCAACUCUGGAACUGCCUUUGAUACUGGGUAUCUUGAGUAUGGAAGAGGUAAGUGGAAUUGCGAGUGUAGAGGUGAAAUUCGUAGAUAUUCGGAGGAACACCAGUGGCGAAGGCGGCUCACUGGUCCA
rnacentral:rRNA from 1 species